AGCAAGGUAGCUCAGUCGGUAGAGCAUGAGACUCUUCAUCUCAGCGCCGUGGGUUCGAGCCCUAUGUUGGGCAA